rnacentral:rRNA from 1 species
AACGAACGCUGGCGGCAGGCCUAACACAUGCAAGUCGAACGCUGUAGCAAUGGAGAGUGGCAGACGGGUGAGUAACGCGUGGGAACCUUCCCAGUGGUACGGAAUAGCUCAGGGAAACUUGAGGUAAUACCGUAUACGCCCUUCGGGGGAAAGAUUUAUCGCCAUUGGAUGGGCCCGCGUCGGAUUAGCUAGUUGGUGGGGUAAUGGCCCACCAAGGCGACGAUCCGUAGCUGGUCUGAGAGGAUGAUCAGCCACACUGGGACUGAGACACGGCCCAGACUCCUACGGGAGGCAGCAGUAGGGAAUAUUGGACAAUGGGCGAAAGCCUGAUCCAGCCAUGCCGCGUGAGUGACGAAGGCCUUCGGGUUGUAAAGCUCCUUUGGCGGGGACGAUAAUGACGGUACCCGCAGAAUAAGCUCCGGCUAACUUCGUGCCAGCCGCCGCGGUAAAAC